rnacentral:rRNA from 1 species
AACGCGAAGAACCUUACCCAGACUUGACAUACAGAGGGAUAAUUUAGAAAUAAGUUAGUCCGCAAGGACCUCUGAACAGGUGCUGCAUGGCUGUCGUCAGCUCGUGCCGUGAGGUGUUGGGUUAAGUCCCGCAACGAGCGCAACCCUUAUUGCUAGUUGCCAACACGUAAUGGUGGGAACUCUAGUGAGACUGCCCGGGUUAACCGGGAGGAAGGUGAGGAUGACGUCAAGUCCGCAUGGCCCUUACGUCUGGGGCUACACACGUGCUACAAUGGGAUGAUACAAAGGGUAGCGAAACCGCGAGGUGGAGCCAAUCUCGAAAACAUCCCCCAGUUCAGAUUGGAGUCUGCAACUCGACUCCAUGAAGCCGGAAUUGCUAGUAAUGGCGUGUCAGCAACAGCGCCGUGAAUACGUUCCCGGGCCUUGUACACACCGCGUGUCU